GACGAACGCUGGCGGCGUGCCUAAUACAUGCAAGUCGAGCGAACCAAUAAGAAGCUUGCUUUUUGUUGGUUAGCGGCGGACGGGUGAGUAACACGUGGGUAACCUUCCUGUAAGACCGGGAUAACUCCGGGAAACCGGUGCUAAUACCGGAUAGAUUAUCUUUCCGCAUGGAGAGAUAAGGAAAGAUGGCUAUUGCCAUCACUUACAGAUGGGCCCGCGGCGCAUUAGCUAGUUGGUGAGGUAACGGCUCACCAAGGCGACGAUGCGUAGCCGACCUGAGAGGGUGAUCGGCCACACUGGGACUGAGACACGGCCCAGACUCCUACGGGAGGCAGCAGUAGGGAAUCUUCCGCAAUGGACGAAAGUCUGACGGAGCAACGCCGCGUGAGCGAAGAAGGUCUUCGGAUCGUAAAGCUCUGUUGUUAGGGAAGAACAAGUAUCGGAGGAAAUGCCGGUACCUUGACGGUACCUGACGAGAAAGCCACGGCUAACUACGUG
rnacentral:rRNA from 1 species